rnacentral:lncRNA from 1 species
AUUUUCCAGCGGUGAUUAUUUCCCCAGACAGUUGUAGGAAUCCUGGACAACUGGUCACAUAUGGUUUAUUAUUUCAUGUCUAUAUUUAGAGGUGAGCCUUUAAAGCAUGUCACUUUUGUCAACCAACUUCAUGUCUGUGAUUUCAAGAGGCAUUCCUCAAUGACAGAGCUGGGAUUGAAAUAUCUCCUGAGGACAAUGGAUUUAAAUUUGUUAUAUGCCUGCAUUAUAUAGCCUGAGGGGUUUCCAUCAUUCUAUAUGUUUCCUGAGUUGCUUCCAAGUCUGCCCCAGCAGUCUAUGAGGAUAAAGCUUAAACAGAAAACCAGUAAGUACAUUGUUCCCUCUUAUUCUUUCAACUGUCUUGUGCACCUGCUUCUAAACAGCAGAAUUGCUAUGAGAGAUACUGCCCUGGAUACCAACAGACAUUUCACUAAGAAAUAAAAUGUGGAUUACUGGUCAUCAGUUGGUUAUGGAGGCUCUGUAACCCCACUAUAUUUAUUCUUGAUCUGUUUCAUUGAGGUUUUCUAUCUGUGUAUCAUGCCCUAGACCACUGUCUCCAUGGUGUGAUUCCACUACAAGUACAAGAAACAGGUCCAGUACAUCCACGGUGACCACCAUUCCCUGAGUCUCACCUGAAACUAGAGCCACUUAAGCCAUCCUGAUCCUGGUGCGCAUCUUAGUCACUUCCUAAUUG